rnacentral:misc_RNA from 1 species
UGUCCACACCAAGAUCACCAAUGGUAACCCUUGAACAGCUUCUAAAGCUUUCCCAAUUAAUUAGAAAAUCAAGUUUUGCCUUUUGAGAGAUUACAAAUGUAAAUAGGAUACUAGAAACGAUUUCUAGUAUUUUUAAUUCAAGAGAUUGUUGUCUAAUCUCUUUAAAUUGAUGAGAGAUGAAGAAGAAGAGAAGGAGUGGCAGCCAAGGGUGGCGGCACAAAGAGAGAACAACAGCUUAUAAUUUUUGUUCUUUCAUCCUUACACUUAUAUAGCUAGGUUACCACUUAAAACCCUUACAACAUGUCACCUUUUGAUUAGCUCU